GACGAACGCUGGCGGCGCGCCUAACACAUGCAAGUCGAACGAGCGAGAGAGAGCUUGCUUUCUCAAGCGAGUGGCGAACGGGUGAGUAACGCGUGAGGAACCUGCCUCAAAGAGGGGGACAACAGUUGGAAACGACUGCUAAUACCGCAUAAGCCCACAGCUCGGCAUCGAGCAGAGGGAAAAGGAGUGAUCCGCUUUGAGAUGGCCUCGCGUCCGAUUAGCUAGUUGGUGAGGUAACGGCCCACCAAGGCGACGAUCGGUAGCCGGACUGAGAGGUUGAACGGCCACAUUGGGACUGAGACACGGCCCAGACUCCUACGGGAGGCAGCAGUGGGGAAUAUUGCACAAUGGGGGAAACCCUGAUGCAGCGACGCCGCGUGGAGGAAGAAGGUCUUCGGAUUGUAAACUCCUGUUGUUGAGGAAGAUAAUGACGGUACUCAACAAGGAAGUGACGGCUAACUACGUGCCGGCAGCCGCGGUAAAACGUAGGUCACAAGCGUUGUCCGGAAUUACUGGGUGUAAAGGGAGCGCAGGCGGGAAGACAAGUUGGAAGUGAAAUCUAUGGGCUCAACCCAUAAACUGCUUUCAAAACUGUUUUUCUUGAGUAGUGCAGAGGUAGGCGGAAUUCCCGGUGUAGCGGUGGAAUGCGUAGAUAUCGGGAGGAACACCAGUGGCGAGGGCGGCCUACUGGGCACCAACUGACGCUGAGGCUCGAAAGUGUGGGUAGCAAACAGG
rnacentral:rRNA from 1 species